rnacentral:rRNA from 1 species
GACGAACGCUGGCGGCGUGCCUAAUACAUGCAAGUAGAACGCUGAAGAGAGGAGCUUGCUCUUCUUGGAUGAGUUGCGAACGGGUGAGUAACGCGUAGGUAACCUGCCUUGUAGCGGGGGAUAACUAUUGGAAACGAUAGCUAAUACCGCAUAACAAUAGGUGACACAUGUCAUCUAUUUGAAAGGGGCAAUUGCUCCACUACAAGAUGGACCUGCGUUGUAUUAGCUAGUAGGUGAGGUAACGGCUCACCUAGGCGACGAUACAUAGCCGACCUGAGAGGGUGAUCGGCCACACUGGGACUGAGACACGGCCCAGACUCCUACGGGAGGCAGCAGUAGGGAAUCUUCGGCAAUGGGGGCAACCCUGACCGAGCAACGCCGCGUGAGUGAAGAAGGUUUUCGGAUCGUAAAGCUCUGUUGUAAGUCAAGAACGAGUGUGAGAGUGGAAAGUUCACACUGUGACGGUAGCUUACCAGAAAGGGACGGCUAACUACGUGCCAGCAGCCGCGGUAAUACGUAGGUCCCGAGCGUUGUCCGGAUUUAUUGGGCGUAAAGCGAGCGCAGGCGGUUUGAUAAGUCUGAAGUUAAAGGCUGUGGCUCAACCAUAGUUCGCUUUGGAAACUGUCAAACUUGAGUGCAGAAGGGGAGAGUGGAAUUCCAUGUGUAGCGGUGAAAUGCGUAGAUAUAUGGAGGAACACCGGUGGCGAAAGCGGCUCUCUGGUCUGUAACUGACGCUGAGGCUCGAAAGCGUGGGGAGCGAACAGGAUUAGAUACCCUGGUAGUCCACGCCGUAAACGAUGAGUGCUAGGUGUUGGAUCCUUUCCGGGAUUCAGUGCCGCAGCUAACGCAUUAAGCACUCCGCCUGGGGAGUACGACCGCAAGGUUGAAACUCAAAGGAAUUGACGGGGGCCCGCACAAGCGGUGGAGCAUGUGGUUUAAUUCGAAGCAACGCGAAGAACCUUACCAGGUCUUGACAUCCCGAUGCUAUUUCUAGAGAUAGAAAGUUACUUCGGUACAUCGGUGACAGGUGGUGCAUGGUUGUCGUCAGCUCGUGUCGUGAGAUGUUGGGUUAAGUCCCGCAACGAGCGCAACCCCUAUUGUUAGUUGCCAUCAUUCAGUUGGGCACUCUAGCGAGACUGCCGGUAAUAAACCGGAGGAAGGUGGGGAUGACGUCAAAUCAUCAUGCCCCUUAUGACCUGGGCUACACACGUGCUACAAUGGUUGGUACAACGAGUUGCGAGUCGGUGACGGCAAGCUAAUCUCUUAAAGCCAAUCUCAGUUCGGAUUGUAGGCUGCAACUCGCCUACAUGAAGUCGGAAUCGCUAGUAAUCGCGGAUCAGCACGCCGCGGUGAAUACGUUCCCGGGCCU